rnacentral:rRNA from 1 species
GUUUGCUAAUACCGCAUACGCUCGGCGAUUCAUUUCGCCGCGUAAAGCCGCAAGGCGCUUUGAGAGGGGCCCGCGUCCCAUCAGGUAGUUGGUGAGGUAAUGGCCCACCAAGCCGAUGACGGGUAGCUGUUCUGAGAGGAAGAUCAGCCACACUGGCACUGAGAUACGGGCCAGACUCCUACGGGAGGCAGCAGUGAGGAAUAUUGCACAAUGGGCGAAAGCCCGAUGCAGCGACGCCGCGUGGGUGACGAAGGCCUUCGGGUCGUAAAACCCUUUUGGUGGGGACGAGUGAGGACGGUACCCAUCGAAUAAGUCUCGGCUAACUACGUGCCAGCAGCCGCGGUAAAACGUAGGAGGCGAGCGUUAUCCGGAUUCACUGGGCGUAAAGCGCGCGUAGGCGGUUUGGUAAGUCGGACGUUAAAGCCCCUGGCUCAACUGGGGGAGGUCGUUCGAUACUGCUUGGCUUGAGGAUGAGAGAGGAAAGUGGAAUUCCCGGUGUAGCGGUGGAAUGCGUAGAGAUCGGGAGGAACACCAGUGGCGAAGGCGGCUUUCUGGCUCAUUUCUGACGCUGAGAGCGCGAAAGCGUGGGGAGCAAACGGGAUUAGAUACCCCGGUAGUCCACGCUCUAAACGAUGAGGGCUGGGUGUUGGCAGGGUUACCUGUCUGUGCCGAAGCAAACGCGUUAAGCCCUCCGC